UUCUAGAAUGACCAUCUUCUAAGUUAUAGUUCUAGAAUGACCAUCUUCUAAGUUAUAGUUCUAGAAUGACCAUCUUCUAAGUUAUAGUUCUAGAAUGACCAUCUUCUAAGUUAUAGUUCUAGAAUGACCAUCUUCUAAGUUCUACAUCUAGAAUGACCAUCUUCUAAGUUAUAGUUCUAGAAUGACCAUCUUCUAAGUUAUAGUUCUAGAAUGACCAUCUUCUAAGUUCUACAUCUAGAAUGACCAUCUUCUAAGUCCUACAUCUAGAAUGACCAUCUUCUAAGUUCUAGAUCUAGAAUGACCAUCUUCUAAGUUAUAGUUCUAGAAUGACCAUCUUCUAAGUUCUACAUCUAGAAUGACCAUCUUCUAAGUCCUACAUCUAGAAUGACCAUCUUCUAAGUCCUACAUCUAGAAUGACCAUCUUCUAAGUUAUAGUUCUAGAAUGACCAUCUUCUAAGUUCUAGAUCUAGAAUGACCAUCUUCUAAGUUCUAGUUCUAGAAUGACCAUCUUCUAAGUUAUAGUUCUAGAAUGACCAUCUUCUAAGUUCUACAUCUAGAAUGACCAUCUUCUAAGUCCUACAUCUAGAAUGACCAUCUUCUAAGUUAUAGUUCUAGAAUGACCAUCUUCUAAGUCCUACAUCUAGAAUGACCAUCUUCUAAGUCCUACAUCUAGAAUGACCAUCUUCUAAGUUAUAGUUCUAGAAUGACCAUCUUCUAAGUUCUAGAUCUAGAAUGACCAUCUUCUAAGUUAUAGUUCUAGAAUGACCAUCUUCUAAGUUAUAGUUCUAGAAUGACCAUCUUCUAAGUUCUACAUCUAGAAUGACCAUCUUCUAAGUUCUACAUCUAGAAUGACCAUCUUCUAAGUCCUACAUCUAGAAUGACCAUCUUCUAAGUUCUAGAUCUAGAAUGACCAUCUUCUAAGUUAUAGUUCUAGAAUGACCAUCUUCUAAGUUCUAGAUCUAGAAUGACCAUCUUCUAAGUUAUAGUUCUAGAAUGACCAUCUUCUAAGUUCUACAUCUAGAAUGACCAUCUUCUAAGUCCUACAUCUAGAAUGACCAUCUUCUAAGUCCUACAUCUAGAAUGACCAUCUUCUAAGUUAUAGUUCUAGAAUGACCAUCUUCUAAGUCCUACAUCUAGAAUGACCAUCUUCUAAGUCCUACAUCUAGAAUGACCAUCUUCUAAGUCCUACAUCUAGAAUGACCAUCUUCUAAGUUCUAGUUCUAGAAUGACCAUCUUCUAAGUUCUAGAUCUAGAAUGACCAUCUUCUAAGUUAUAGUUCUAGAAUGACCAUCUUCUAAGUUCUACAUCUAGAAUGACCAUCUUCUAAGUCCUACAUCUAGAAUGACCAUCUUCUAAGUCCUACAUCUAGAAUGACCAUCUUCUAAGUUCUAGAUCUAGAAUGACCAUCUUCUAAGUCCUACAUCUAGAAUGACCAUCUUCUAAGUCCUACAUCUAGAAUGACCAUCUUCUAAGUCCUACAUCUAGAAUGACCAUCUUCUAAGUUAUAGUUCUAGAAUGACCAUCUUCUAAGUCCUACAUCUAGAAUGACCAUCUUCUAAGUUAUAGUUCUAGAAUGACCAUCUUCUAAGUUAUAGUUCUAGAAUGACCAUCUUCUAAGUUCUACAUCUAGAAUCUCAUUUCUGUUACUGUGUCUUUCAGUUGCCUCCUGUCUCUGUUAUAGUUGACACACCUGAGCUGUUAUUGGAUCCAUGUAAAACAACAUGGCUUCACGCUGUCUGGGGGAGUGUUACCAUGGUAACAUAUCAACUUCACGCUGUCUGGGGGAGUGUUACCAUGGUAACAUAUCAACAGACAACUGUUGUUUUCUCAGGUUUGUCCUUUUAUAGUUGCUCUAUUUUUUCAAUGCUUCUUGAAUGUCAUUUCCCCAAAAUGUCUGCCUCUUUGCCUAUUGAGAGAGUUGCUCUAUAAAAAGAUAACGCCAUUCACCAUGUAUCAACCAUCUUCCAUUAAACAUCAUGUAAACAUCCUGAGGAAGCCUGUUGUCUGGCUAUGAUGAAGAACAUGUGAUUGUGAUGUGUACAAUAUGUUCUGUAGUCGUCGCUACAGAAUACAGCCCAACGGCAGUAGCCUACACAGUGUCUUUACCUCCCUGGCAGGUUAGUGACCCUGAGACGUAUCUAUACAGUACAGUAGAGGGUCAACUGGGUUGGAGGUUUAGUAUCUGUAUUGGGUGCCACUGUUAGCACCCAAAGUAUCAUGACAUGAUUAUUCCAGUCAGAAUGUAAAUUAGAAUGUUACGAUGGUGAUUGGUUAGCCUGGGUAUAUCAGUAUGGACCAGCAUGUCACUCCUAGCUACUUCCUGGGUAUAUCAGUAUGGACCAGCAUGUCACUCCUAGCUACUUCCUGGGUAUAUCAGUAUGGACCAGCAUGUCACUCCUAGCUACUUCCUGGGUAUAUCAGUAUGGUCCAGCAUGUCACUCCUAGCUACUUCCUGGGUAUAUCAGUAUGGACCAGCAUGUCACUCCUAGCUACUUCCUGGGUAUAUCAGUAUGGACCAUCAUGUCACUCCUAGCUACUUCCUGGAUAUAUCAGUAUGGACCAGCAUGUCACUCCUAGCUACUUCCUGGGUAUAUCAGUAUGGACCAUCAUGUCACUCCUAGCUACUUCCUGGGUAUAACAGUAUGGACCAGCAUGUCACUCCUAGCUACUUCCUGGGUAUAUCAGUAUGGACCAGCAUGUCACUCCUAGCUACUUCCUGGGUAUAUCAGUAUGGACCAGCAUGUCACUCCUAGCUACUUCCUGGGUAUAUCAGUAUGGACCAGCAUGUCACUCCUAGCUACUUCCUGGGUAUAUCAGUAUGGACCAGCAUGUCACUCCUAGCUACUUCCUGGGUAUAUCAGUAUGGACCAGCAUGUCACUCCUAGCUACUUCCUGGGUAUAUCAGUAUGGACCAGCAUGUCACUCCUAGCUACUUCCUGGGUAUAUCAGUAUGGACCAGCAUGUCACUCCUAGCUACUUCCUGGGUAUAUCAGUAUGCGUGGACCAUCAUGUCACUCCUUGCCACUUCCUGGCAUCCAAACAUGACAAUGAAUGGAAUGAUGGCACACACUGAUCUGGGAGCAGCAGGUUAGACACUGAUCUGGGAGCAGCAGGUUAGACACUGAUCUGGGAGCAGCAGGUUAGACACUGAUCUGGGAGCAGCAGGUUAGACACUGAUCUGGGAGCAGCAGGUUAGACACUGAUCUGGGAGCAGCAGGUUAGACACUGAUCUGGGAGCAGCAGGUUAGACACUGAUCUGGGAGCAGCAGGUUAGACACUGAUCUGGGAGCAGCAGGUUAGACACUGAUCUGGGAGCAGCAGACACUGAUCUGGGAGCAGCAGGUUAGACACUGAUCUGGGAGCAGCAGGUUAGACACUGAUCUGGGAGCAGCAGGUUAGACACUGAUCUGGGAGCAGCAGGUUAGACACUGAUCUGGGAGCAGCAGGUUAGACACUGAUCUGGGAGCAGCAGGUUAGACACUGAUCUGGGAGCAGCAGGUUAGACACUGAUCUGGGAGCAGCAGGUUAGACACUGAUCUGGGAGGAGCAGGUUAGCGUUUGGUGCCAGUGGUUAGUUUGCUGAAGUGUAGUGUAUAUCUGUUGCUCGGGGUCACUGUCCCCCUUUAACACCAAGCAUGAGGCCUAAAGGCAGCGAUGGACU